UACGUAGGGGGCAAGCGUUGUCCGGAAUCAUUGGGCGUAAAGAGCGUGUAGGCGGUCCGGUAAGUCGGCUGUGAAAGUCCAGGGCUCAACCCUGGGAUGCCGGUCGAUACUGCCGGACUAGAGUUCGGAAGAGGCGAGUGGAAUUCCCGGUGUAGCGGUGAAAUGCGCAGAUAUCGGGAGGAACACCUAUGGCGAAGGCAGCUCGCUGGGACGUUACUGACGCUGAGACGCGAAAGCGUGGGGAGCGAGCAGG
rnacentral:rRNA from 1 species